CUCCCACUCUCCGCCUCCUUCCCCCUCCCUCCGUGGCUCAGGCGUUUAUAGGUCCGUGAGUUUACGUCAGCGCGAAGGGCGGGGUCAAAGCCGCGGGAGUGCCGGAUGUAACCGCCCUCAAAUCUUGGAUUGGGUCGUCAGAUUAGCCCCGCCCUCCCCACGUCUUGUGACUCUACUGGUCCGAAGCGCAUGGCGGUAGCACCUCCUGCCGUCUUUGGGCGGAUCGCUCUAUUGCGGAGCCUCAGCACUCGGAGGCAAGGGUCAGCGGUAGGGCGGAGGCCGAGCUUCUGUUUCUGCGGGAUUCGAGCGGUGGUCUUCCCUUCCAGCGCUCAACAAUAAAAAACGCCUUGCACCCA